AAGACAACUCUCAACAACGGAUAUCUUGGCUCUCGCAACGAUGAAGAACGCAGCGAAAUGCGAUACGUAGUGUGAAUUGCAGAAAUACGUGAACCAUCGAAUCUUUGAACGCAUAUUGCGCCCGCGUCUUCGGACAAGGGCAUGUUUGCCUCAGCGUC
rnacentral:rRNA from 1 species